GCCACGGUGGCACAACCUGGUACUGCGCAAGCCUGGAAAGCUUGUUUCCGCAAGGAUAUCCCAGUUCAAAUCUGGGUCGUGGCG
rnacentral:tRNA from 1 species